rnacentral:lncRNA from 1 species
GGCCUGUUCAUGUAGUUCAAAAAUAUGCAUAUCCUAUUCAUUUACUUUACGCUGAAGGUCCAAAAGACUCUAAUUCCUUUCCUUCAGCAUGGUCAUCUUCUCAUUGAUUUGAGUUUUGAGUCCUUCAACAAGCUGAGACUUCUCCUCAGCUUUCUUUUCGACCGCCUUUUUCUACUCCUCGAUGACCAGCAUAGCAACAUUUAUGGUCCUUUUAUUCUCUAUAAUCCAGGCCAUGUUCUCAUACAUGAUCUG